AGGAAAGCAGGGGAUGCAAGACCUUGCGCUGAUUGAGCGGCCGAUAUCAGAUUAGCUAGUUGGUGAGGUAAAGACUCACCAAGCGACGAUCUGUAGCGGGUCUGAGAGGAUGAUCCGCCACACUGGAACUGAGACACGGUCCAGACUCCUACGGGAGGCAGCAGUGGGGAAUUUGGACAAUGGGCGCAAGCUGAUCCAGCCAUGCGCGUGAGUGAAGAAGGCUUCGGGUUGUAAAGUCUCUUUCAGACCGGGAAGAAAACGCAUGGGUUAAUACCCUGUGUGGAUGACGGUACCGGAAUAAGAAGCACCGGCUAAACUACGUG
rnacentral:rRNA from 1 species